GGUAAUGUGACCUAAAGUCUGUUAACUCGUCGAUUAAUGCAGGCUGUAUCGUGAGGAAAGAAAAGUGGUGAUGGAUGGACUGAGGAACCUGGGAACGAUGGGUGGGGAACAUUUUGAGCUAUGUAAAGUGUUCAGGCGGGAGGAAAGAAGUUUUUUAUCUGUACGGGACUGUCUGAAAUGAUAUAAGGAUGGAUGAAUGCGAAAGAGGACCAGAAGGGGGCAGCAAUGCAACAACACGAUGCCAACCGCACUCAAACCAGAAGAAGAAGAAAAAGGAGUAGAAGAAGAAAGACCACGAGGAGGUGAGGGACGCAACUUUGUCCACUGUAAAGUACUUUAAUCGUCAUAUUUAAGUAUUUUAGCUUCAACACACCCUAGUGCUAAUAUAUGACUUUUUGGUUGAGCAGUUGUGAUUCAUACGAGUGUUGUUAUUUUUGUCCUGUAGAGACACAGUCCGGGGCUGCGUGGUUGUGCCAUCAUGAACAGCCCAGCGGCCGCUGAGCAGCUGCACCUUAGGGAACAGCUUGCGCCGAUGAAGUCCGAUGGAACCUGACUCUGACUCCAUGGUCGCUGGUGCCGGAGCAAUCUGGACCAAAGCUUUGGCUACCACCCUCGGGUCAGGUGAGAACGAUGCGAAGAUCCUGAGUGAUGUUCAGGGUGGCCUUGAGCUGCCAGGAGACCAUCUCCUCCAAUGAGACCGAAGGGUCGUUCCACUCAGGCUCGAGUGUUCCGCAUUCCAGAUGAAGAAAAACAACCACGCUUGAAAAAUGCCCAUUCCACCAUAAUUGUUUGAACCCUGCUUCACUGUUUCCUUUGUUAAAACCAGACAUUUUGUUUUGCUUCAUUAAAGUUUUUAUACCUUAAUGAUUUUAAUUGCUUUUAUUUUUUGAUGGUCUUCAAGCUACAUUGGAGGUUUUACAAUGAUAGAGCAGUUCCUGCUAACGAUUCAUAAACGGAGCUCAUUUGUGUCGUUUGAACUCGAAGUGUUUGAAGCUAUCCCCAACGCUCCAGCCCUAACCCCAAGUAAAAAUAAAACCUGAAAUUUGAGAUUUAAAGCUGCUUCUUUCACAUGAAUGAACUAAUAAAAUUGUGAGCCAGAGAAACAUCUUUUAAUCCAGAUUAUAGCGGGAUGCUAUCUAAGGUGCACAUCAUCUUGGACGUCUCCCACCAUCUCUGACCAGUUGGGCCAACACAGGACACGGCCCUCUGCAGGUAUCACCGACCCCA
rnacentral:lncRNA from 1 species